rnacentral:rRNA from 1 species
GAGUAACGCGUGAGGAACCUGCCUCAAAGAGGGGGACAACAGUUGGAAACGACUGCUAAUACCGCAUAAGCCCACGGCUCGGCAUCGAGCAGAGGGAAAAGGAGUGAUCCGCUUUGAGAUGGCCUCGCGUCCGAUUAGCUAGUUGGUGAGGUAACGGCCCACCAAGGCGACGAUCGGUAGCCGGACUGAGAGGUUGAACGGCCACAUUGGGACUGAGACACGGCCCAGACUCCUACGGGAGGCAGCAGUGGGGAAUAUUGCACAAUGGGGGAAACCCUGAUGCAGCGACGCCGCGUGGAGGAAGAAGGUCUUCGGAUUGUAAACUCCUGUUGUUGAGGAAGAUAAUGACGGUACUCAACAAGGAAGUGACGGCUAACUACGUGCCAGCAGCCGCGGUAAAACGUAGGUCACAAGCGUUGUCCGGAAUUACUGGGUGUAAAGGGAGCGCAGGCGGGAGAACAAGUUGGAAGUGAAAUCCAUGGGCUCAACCCAUGAACUGCUUUCAAAACUGUUUUUCUUGAGUAGUGCAGAGGUAGGCGGAAUUCCCGGUGUAGCGGUGGAAUGCGUAGAUAUCGGGAGGAACACCAGUGGCGAAGGCGGCCUACUGGGCACCAACUGACGCUGAGGCUCGAAAGUGUGGGUAGCAAACAGGAUUAGAUACCCUGGUAGUCCACACCGUAAACGAUGAUUACUAGGUGUUGGAGGAUUGACCCCUUCAGUGCCGCAG